CCCCGCGGCUGGGGAGGGGGGAGAAGGCCGAAAACCCCCCCCCAUCCCCUCCCCACGUCCUCCCCCUCCUCACCUCGCCCCCGGGGGCUCCGUUAGCGGCGGGCGGUGCCUGCAGGAGGCCGCCCCCGGGGCUCGCUGAGGCGGCCGCCGCCUGCCCGGGGGCCCUCCCGGGGGCCGCUCCCGGUGCUGCCGCCGCUGCUGCUGCUGCUGCCACCGCCACCGCCGCCGCUCCUCCUCCUCCCGCUGCCGGCGCUGAGGCCGCGGCCCCGGCCUUGGCCAAGCCGCCCGCUCCCCCGCCGCCGCCCGGCCCCGGCCCGCCGGUGCUGCCGAGGCCGCCGCCCCGCUUGUUCUUCCGCCGCUUGGCUCCGCGCUUGGCGUCGGCCGGGCUCAUGGCGCCUGGCGGCGAGGAGGAAGAGGAGGAAGGAGAAGAAGAAGAAGGAGGAGGAGGAGGAGGGGGGAGGGCGGCGAGGAGCGGGGCGCGGCGCCUGUCACGGCCACGGGGCUGCCUCGGCCCCGGCGCCGCGGAGCGGAGUUCCCGUCCAAUAUGGCGGACACAAGGGGAAAGUGAUCCCCCUGUACGUCGCGGGGCUCCCCCUGGCGCUGACGGGAACCCGCCCCGCGGGGCACGCUGGGAGGACGAGUUCGCGCGCCCGCCGUUUCCAUCUAUCCCUACCGGUGAAGGACUACAAGUCCCGGCGUGCACCGCGCGAGCGGGCUGGACGCGGCCGCAGACGGCCCCCGCCGCCGCGGGGCGCGCUGGGAGUUGUAGUCCCGCCCGCCGCCGUUAGCCCCGCCGGCCGCCGUUGCCACCCCGGUCAAGGGACUACACCGCCGCCCAGCAGCCGGCGAGCACCACGUGACGCGCGCCCCCGCGCCUUAAAGGGGCCGCGGCCGCCGGCCGCUCCCGCGGGGCCCGAGGCGCGAGGGGCUCCGCGCCCUGAGGGGGCCGCCGCGGGCAAUGGCGGCCGCCCCCCGCCCCCUGUGUCCGCACAAGCACCACAAAGCCGCGGCCACACGGCGCUCCCCGGCCUCGUCCCCUCAAUAAAGAGCCCCGGGGGAGCCGCGCGUUGUGCCCGCUGUGGGCGUGGGGAGGC
rnacentral:lncRNA from 1 species